rfam:Hordeum vulgare subsp. vulgare, WGS project CAJW01000000 data, contig: morex_contig_60905
UAAAUAUUCCCUCUGUCUAAAAUUACUUGUCGUAAAUAUGAAUAGAAAUGAAUGUAUCUAGAGCUACAAUGCAUCUAGAUGCAUCCAUUCUUCCGACAAGUAUUUUCGGACUAAGGGGGUAUUUU